rnacentral:rRNA from 1 species
UGGGGAAUUUUGGACAAUGGGCGAAAGCCUGAUCCAGCAAUGCCGCGUGUGUGAAGAAGGCCUUCGGGUUGCAAAGCACUUUUGUCCGGAAAGAAAUCCUUGGCUCUAAUACAGUCGGGGGAUGACGGUACCGGAAGAAUAAGCACCGGCUAACUACGUGCCAGCAGCCGCGGUAAUACGUAGGGUGCAAGCGUUAAUCGGAAUUACUGGGCGUAAAGCGUGCGCAGGCGGUUUGCUAAGACCGAUGUGAAAUCCCCGGGCUCAACCUGGGAACUGCAUUGGUGACUGGCAGGCUAGAGUAUGGCAGAGGGGGGUAGAAUUCCACGUGUAGCAGUGAAAUGCGUAGAGAUGUGGAGGAAUACCGAUGGCGAAGGCAGCCCCCUGGGCCAAUACUGACGCUCAUGCACGAAAGCGUGGGGAGCAAACAGGAUUAGAUACCCUGGUAGUCCACGCCCUAAAACGAUGUCAACUAGUUGUUGGGGGAUUCAUUUCCUUAGUAACGUAGCUAACGCGUGAAGUUGACCGCCUGGGGAGUACGGUCGCAAGAUUAAAACUCAAAGGAAUUGACGGGGUCAUAGCUGUUUCCU